GACGAACGCUGGCGGCGUGCUUAACACAUGCCAGUCGAACGGAAAGGCCCUGCUUUUGUGGGGUGCUCGAGUGGCGAACGGGUGAGUAACACGUGAGUAACCUGCCCUUGACUUUGGGAUAACUUCAGGAAACUGGGGCUAAUACCGGAUAGGAGCUCCUGCUGCAUGGUGGGGGUUGGAAAGUUUCGGCGGUUGGGGAUGGACUCGCGGCUUAUCAGCUUGUUGGUGGGGUAGUGGCUUACCAAGGCUUUGACGGGUAGCCGGCCUGAGAGGGUGACCGGCCACAUUGGGACUGAGAUACGGCCCAGACUCCUACGGGAGGCAGCAGUGGGGAAUAUUGCACAAUGGGCGGAAGCCUGAUGCAGCAACGCCGCGUGCGGGAUGACGGCCUUCGGGUUGUAAACCGCUUUCGCCUGUGACGAAGCGUGAGUGACGGUAAUGGGUAAAGAAGCACCGGCUAACUUCGUG
rnacentral:rRNA from 1 species